rnacentral:rRNA from 1 species
GGAGAGUUUGAUCCUGGCUCAGGAUGAACGCUGGCGGCGUGCUUAACACAUGCAAGUCGAACGGUGAAGCCAAGCUUGCUUGGUGGAUCAGUGGCGAACGGGUGAGUAACACGUGAGCAACCUGCCCUGGACUCUGGGAUAAGCGCUGGAAACGGCGUCUAAUACUGGAUAUGAGCCUCUUCCGCAUGGUGGGGGUUGGAAAGAUUUUUUUGGUCUGGGAUGGGCUCGCGGCCUAUCAGCUUGUUGGUGAGGUAAUGGCUCACCAAGGCGUCGACGGGUAGCCGGCCUGAGAGGGUGACCGGCCACACUGGGACUGAGACACGGCCCAGACUCCUACGGGAGGCAGCAGUGGGGAAUAUUGCACAAUGGGCGAAAGCCUGAUGCAGCAACGCCGCGUGAGGGAUGACGGCCUUCGGGUUGUAAACCUCUUUUAGCAGGGAAGAAGCGAAAGUGACGGUACCUGCAGAAAAAAGCGCCGGCUAACUACGUGCCAGCAGCCGCGGUAAUACGUAGGGCGCAAGCGUUAUCCGGAAUUAUUGGGCGUAAAGAGCUCGUAGGCGGUUUGUCGCGUCUGCUGUGAAAUCCCGAGGCUCAACCUCGGGCCUGCAGUGGGUACGGGCAGACUAGAGUGCGGUAGGGGAGAUUGGAAUUCCUGGUGUAGCGGUGGAAUGCGCAGAUAUCAGGAGGAACACCGAUGGCGAAGGCAGAUCUCUGGGCCGUAACUGACGCUGAGGAGCGAAAGGGUGGGGAGCAAACAGGCUUAGAUACCCUGGUAGUCCACCCCGUAAACGUUGGGAACUAGUUGUGGGGACCAUUCCACGGUUUCCGUGACGCAGCUAACGCAUUAAGUUCCCCGCCUGGGGAGUACGGCCGCAAGGCUAAAACUCAAAGGAAUUGACGGGGACCCGCACAAGCGGCGGAGCAUGCGGAUUAAUUCGAUGCAACGCGAAGAACCUUACCAAGGCUUGACAUACACCAGAACGGGCCAGAAAUGGUCAACUCUUUGGACACUGGUGAACAGGUGGUGCAUGGUUGUCGUCAGCUCGUGUCGUGAGAUGUUGGGUUAAGUCCCGCAACGAGCGCAACCCUCGUUCUAUGUUGCCAGCACGUAAUGGUGGGAACUCAUGGGAUACUGCCGGGGUCAACUCGGAGGAAGGUGGGGAUGACGUCAAAUCAUCAUGCCCCUUAUGUCUUGGGCUUCACGCAUGCUACAAUGGCCGGUACAAAGGGCUGCAAUACCGUGAGGUGGAGCGAAUCCCAAAAAGCCGGUCCCAGUUCGGAUUGAGGUCUGCAACUCGACCUCAUGAAGUCGGAGUCGCUAGUAAUCGCAGAUCAGCAACGCUGCGGUGAAUACGUUCCCGGGUCUUGUACACACCGCCCGUCAAGUCAUGAAAGUCGGUAACACCUGAAGCCGGUGGCCCAACCCUUGUGGAGGGAGCCGUCGAAGGUGGGAUCGGUAAUUAGGACUAAGUCGUAACAAGGUAGCCGUACCGGAAGGUGCGGCUGGAUCACCUCCUUUCUAAGGAGCAUCUGGCA